UCUUGUUAUUGUUAUCAUGUUGAAUACACCAGUUCUCAUCCAAUCACUGAAGUUAUGAAACGUCGAGCGUGGAUAGUACCUACUUGGAUGGGUGACUGUCUAGGCAUCCUCGUACUGCUGGCU
rfam:Asian citrus Psyllid, Diaphorina citri - Florida Strain, whole genome shotgun sequence.